GGAGAGGUGUCCGAGUGGCUGAAGGAGCACGCUUGGAAAGCGUGUUCACGAGAAAUCGUGACGUGGGUUCGAAUCCCACCCUCUCCGCCA
rnacentral:tRNA from 2 species